rnacentral:tRNA from 1 species
ACAGCUUUAAGUUAAGAGUUAGACUAUAGGUCUUCAAAAUCUAAAGAUUAGCUGUA